AUUGAACGCUGGCGGCAUGCCUAAUACAUGCAAGUCGAGCGAGCGGCGGACGGGUGAGUACUGUCUGGGAAACUGCCUGAUGGAGGGGGAUAACUACUGGAAACGGUAGCUAAUACCGCAUACCAUCAGAUGUGCCCAGAUGGGAUUAGCUAGUAGGUGGGGUAACGGCUCACCUAGGCGACGAUCCCUAGCUGGUCUGAGAGGAUGACCAGCCACACUGGAACGGAGACACGGUCCAGACUCCGACGGGAGGCAGCAGUGGGGAAUAUUGCACAAUGGACGAAAGCCUGAUGCAGCCAUGCCGCGUGUGUGAAGAAGGUCUUCGGGUUGUAAAGCACUUUCAGCGGGGAAGCGUUACCCGAAGAGGAAGCACCGGCUAACUCCGUGCCAGCCGCCGCGGUAAUAC
rnacentral:rRNA from 1 species